CCUCUUCUCUGCUGCGCAUCCAACCUCCCUCCCUCCUCCAGAAAUCUAAUCUCUCUCACUCGUAUCAGCCGUUCGCCACGUCCAUCGCCGGUGGUGGUCUGACGCCCCUUGGUUCGCCGGCCGAUCCUACGAGUCAUCUCCUUCCGCAUCAGCAACCAUGAGAUUCAGCCGGCGGUCACGUCGUCUCGUCGUGCAAUCCAAGCUACAGAUUCUUCUUCACGGCGGCACGACGCGAGUGGUUGUGCGGGCUACUACCGCUAAGGCCUGCGAAUGGACCAUCCUAUCCUAUCCUGCUGGCUCCAGCCCGCCUCCGAAACGUAGCCCAGGUACGUGUUACACAUUUGGGCCCACUGUCCAGUUCCCAUUCAUUCACCACCCGAAGCUUAACCUAGCCGAUGUCCCUCCACAACACCCGCCGUCAUUUCCGCUCGAGCUAGUGUCCCCCUUGACAGAGAGGAGAAGAGCGGCUCCUCCUCCCCCUCGACGCCAAGCCAACACUAACCAGCAGUCAGUCAGGCCAAGCCAAGCAGCAGGCAGGUGACGGGAUUUUUUCUUCUGCAACCCCUCCUAAACUCCUCCUGCUAUUAGUACAAGGGGACUACUUCCCUCUGUUCCUUUGCAAGAUGAAGUAGGGCACCGAACCCCCCCCCUCCUCAUUCUCUUUUGCUAGCUCUUCCUUGUUCCUCACUGGACGCACGCGAAAAAAAGCACUAAGUAGGCAUUGUGCCGUCCGUGGGAGGCCCUCCCCUGCCUCCUCCUGUCCUCCUUUGAGGCUCAUCUCUAAUAGGCUUUGACUUCUUUAGAAUCAAUUCAUGUUAACUCUUUCAGAUCUAUAGUCAGUAUUUGAAUGUGAUAGUCGAAUGGAGUAUCUUCUUGUCAUUAUAGUUUAUAGAUUUUCUGCAAGCUUGUUGACUUUACUCCUUUGCUACUGCAUAUAUGAAAGCAGUGUCUUGUUAGCAUUAAGGCAACUAGUAAUGCACUUAUUUAUCAGAUGAAUUAUGUGAUAGUAUUCUUUCUUUC